UACGAAGGGGGCUAGCGUUGCUCGGAAUUACUGGGCGUAAAGGCCAGUAGGCGGCCAACUAAGUCGGAUGUGAAAUCCCCAGGCUCAACUUGGGAACUGCAUCCGAUACUGGAUGGCUUGAAUUCGGAGAGGGAUGCAGAAUUCCAGGGUUGUAGCGGGUGAAAUGCGUAGAUAUCUGGAGGAAUACCGGUGGCGAAGGCGG
rnacentral:rRNA from 1 species